AGGAUUUGGCUGUUACGUGACCUUGCUGUUGCUGGAGUCUUGAAAAAGUUCCCUUAAGUUACAGUAUAGAGAGGCGUUCCCAUAACGGAGGAGCAAAGAAACCAGUUGCGUCGUCCGCAGCAUCCUAUUAUAACCGCCACUCUUCCUGUGCGGUUUAGAAAGUGAAAAGAGGACCCUCGGAUCAAUGGGGUGCUGUAGCAGAUGUGCCAGUAACGUAACCCCACAGAAUGUGCGGCCUUCACCCCAGAGGUGAGGGGGACUGUCCAACAGAACACGACGUGACACUCACCGACAGAGCCGGUGCUCCUGGGGCAAAUGUGUCACCCCCUGAUUAGGAUGCCCAAUGCACAACUACAAUAGGCCAAUACACCAGGACACCCGCACCCUGGAUAUAGUGUCACAUUUCCAAUCUUGAAACACAGGUGUCUUCACUUUACUUGCUAAAUAUAACAAAUGAAACUGC